ACCCCUGCCGGGUUCCCAGGGCUUUCCUCGGGCACGCACACUCCCCUCCUCCCCCUCCUCCGGCAAAUGAGGAAAUAACGGCGCUUACUAACACAUCGUAUCUUUAUUAGUCCUCGCACAGGGUUUUACAUAUGAUCUAUCGAGUCUGCGAACUAUCGCACGCGUGGAGUAACAUCGACUAUAAUUAAUUCUCGUUGGAGUUAUAUAAUAUACAUAUAUAAUAUAUAUAUAAAAAGAAAAAAAAAACGCGCGAUUAAAACGCCCGCGAGGACGCGGUUAGCGGUUUACCGUAAAAUUAGCCGUUAAAAAGAAUUGGUAAAAAAAAAAAAAAAGUAAAACGGGUUUAGACAAACAACACGAAUAAAUGUAUGUGUAUAACGAUCGCGCGGUGAGCUCGAUUUCGCUCGUCUACCGCGUCUAUUAUUAGUCUCUUUUUCUUCGUGGCACAAUGGAGAGAAAGAGAGAGAAGGCCACUUCUGCGCCCCCCAGUCCUUCCGGAUCGAUCUGGUUCCUCCGUGAGAUUCACGAAUGAGAGAGGAAAGAGAAGAAGACUGAAAUAAAUAAUUCAGCUGUCACGCACGCAACUGUUUGUCUUUCGGAAUUAUUUAUACACUUUACGGUUAUCUUCCGGAAUCUCCUCGGUGUAUACUCCUCCUACGUUAGAAAUAUCGUAACCGAUUACGACUGACUACGUGACGUAUGACGGCAGCUCCUUAAUUAUAUACCAAUGUACUUCAGGGGUGGGAAAGCGGAGAUUUCCAGUUCGAGACAAAUGCUUAACAUUCAAUCGUUCAGACUUUGAAAGUGAAAGUGAAAAGUUGAAAGGAAAUUCCCAUUUUCCACCGCAAUCGUUUCUCUUUUGGAAAUAACGAGAAUUAGACGAGAGUUGAAACGGACUUUUCGACACUUUCGAAAAAAUAGACGGAGUUACUAGAGAAAUAUAAGUCUAUUUCUUCAUAGAUUUACAGAUGACUCUUUGUAUUUAAAGUGAAAUAGAUGUACAUUUGAAAUUUGCGAUGAAAGCCAAAAAGAAAGUUCUAGUGCAGUAAAAAAAACCUAAUAAUUCGAAGAAACGGAAACUAAAUCGAAUUCAUUUUCCGCGCCCCUCAGGUAAUCAUAAUUCGAGAAAGACAAAUCAGACUGUACUCGUGUGCUUUGCAUCAUUUUAACGUCAGAAACUUAGCUCUUAUAAAAUUCGACAUCGCAAUUAACUUCAGUUUGAUAUUUUCGGAACUUUUCUAGAACGUGAAAUUUGAAUUCAGAUUCAAGUUUCAAUUGAAUUUAUCAUAUUGCUGCUAGUCAAGCAAUUAUAUUCUGGUAACUUCGUCAAUUUUUUCGAGGGAAAACUUCAACUCUCGCUUCUUAUUCGAAACUUACAGCGAAGGUAGGGCACUCAGAAAAUUUUUUUUUAAUUUAUUACGAUUCGGAAAAUCAAGUUUUCCAUAAAGUCUAAAAUUUUUUUCUUCUAAAUUCACCCCGUGAAGAAUUGACAUUUAAUUAAGGAGCAUCCUACAUAUGUAUAUGAUAUACAUAUAUCUUUAUAUAUAUUUUUACGAAAUAAUGACGCGAGUCAUAAUCGUGGAGUUCAUCAUUGCCGAGCUAACGUUAUAACACGGAGUAAACUUACUUCUACUCGAGUCGGGCAGUACUUUAUACAUUUAUACAAUUUCCUAUAAACACUUUCGAGUUUCCUUAGUUGCGCAAAAAUACACUCUAAACGAUUAAAACGAUUACAUUACGAGAUGAAAAAUUCGCAGAGGUAAAUGCAAAUUCGUCGAAUUUUCGCCGCGUGAAGUGUAUCUUACAGAUUGCACUGGUAAAUAGUGUAAAAAGUCUUCGAUAGUUAUUCGUUUCUGAUCGAAAAAAAAAAGAGAAUGCCUCUUUUUCCAUGACGGUUAUAAUGUAAUAUGAGACAAUUUAAUAUGUGCGAUAUACUUCAGAAUAAAUCCAACACUAAGGCUAAUAGUGUAACAGUAAAAAGUACAAUAAAAAAUAAAAAAUAUUAAAAAAUAUUAAAAAUAUUAAAUAGUGCGCCCGCAGCGCGCGUCCGUAAUGCUAAUAAAAAAUAAAAAUGCUUCAUGCACGGCCUAUUUCGCUUCGUCUCGAUAUUACAAUUCUGCGUUACAAUAAUUCUCGAAUUAUUACACAUAAAUUAACUCUCGAAAUGCUUACGAGUGAGCUCAAGUUUCAUAUCUGGCGUGUAAUUUUGCUGACUAAGAGCGACGUUCGUAACACUUCAUGAGUCACUCCAGUUCGUUCUACUGAAAAAAAAAAACAUUACGCACUCGAAAUUCUAGUAGCUCGUAGUUUUCUAAUAUUUGCCGAGCGCUUUUCUUUAUCUUGAAAGUGAUAACGGAAAUUUAUUCUGACGCUGAUUUAUUAUAACGCGUAUAGAAAAUAGCUGACACGACAAAGCGAAAUAGACUCGGUAUAGAUGUAUGGACUUUUCUCUCUUUUGUCGUUCCUCCAGGUUCCAAAUUCAUCUCUGAAGUAUAUCUCACGCAUCAAGUAAUAUCCGGCACGACACUUUCAGAAAAAAAAUCGUGUCUUAAUCACACUGAUUACUCGGAAUGAGUAAUGGAAUCGUCUAAAAACGAACGCUGCUACACGCACACUAACACGCUGAGAAUAAUACUUUGUGUCUAGGUGCAAAGACGGUUAAACGUUACGUCACCUAUCUUGAACUCCAGGUAGGUGAUAAGUCAAGUCUUACUUUGAAAUAAGAAAUUUGAGAUAUAAAUCCUCAAAUCUUUUUUGGGGGUCCGUCCAGUGGACCUCGUAUGACCACGAAGGGUUAAAACAUGAUCGCGAUAAAAUGUAACAUUACGACUUCGUAAACAAAUAGCGCGUUUCACGCGCGCGCUCGCGCGCACGAAAUGCAGUCUAUGUUAUAUAUGGCAGUAUUAAGUCAUUCUUUACAAAUAUAUAUCAACAAAAAAAUA